UACGUAGGGUGCAAGCGUUAUCCAGAUUUACUGGGCGUAAAGCGCACGCAGGCGGAUGAUUAAGUCAGCUGUGAAAGCUCCCGGCUCAACUGGGAAGGGUCGGCUGAAACUGGUCGUCUGGAGGGCAACAGAGGAGUGUAGAAUUGCGGGUGUAGUGGUGAAAUGCGUAGAUAUCCGCAGGAAUACCAGUGGCGAAGGCGGCACUCUGGGUUGUACCUGACGCUGAGAUGCGAAAGCGUGGGGAGCAAACAGG
rnacentral:rRNA from 1 species